GUGAGGAAUAUUGGUCAAUGGGCGGGAGCCUGAACCAGCCAAGUCGCGUGAAGGAAGAAGGAUCUAUGGUUCGUAAACUUCUUUUGCAGGGGAAUAAAGUGCAGGACGUGUCCUGUUUUGUAUGUACCCUGAGAAUAAGGAUCGGCUAACUCCGUGCCAGCAGCCGCGGUAAUACGGAGGAUCCGAGCGUUAUCCGGAUUUAUUGGGUUUAAAGGGUGCGUAGGUGGUUUGAUAAGUCAGCGGUGAAAGUUUGCAGCUUAACUGUAAAAAUGCCGUUGAAACUGUCGGACUUGAGUGUAAAUGAGGUAGGCGGAAUGCGUGGUGUAGCGGUGAAAUGCAUAGAUAUCACGCAGAACUCCGAUUGCGAAGGCAGCUGACUGAGCCUUGAUUGACGCUGAGGUACGAAAGUGUGGGUAGCGAACAGGAUUAGAAACCCUGGUAGUCC
rnacentral:rRNA from 1 species